ensembl:lncRNA
UAUUUGCUCAGUAUGCUUAGAUUUAUGUGAUACUCCCAUAAUAACACGAUGUAACCAUAUAUGGUAAGCUGAGCAUAUAUAUAUUAUUACUAUUAAUAUCUGCUUUUUUUUUGUUUUUUUUACAUAAAAAAGUACUUGUAUUAAUUGGAGUUUUUUUUUUUUUUUUUUUGAUUUGUUUGACCUCAUUUAUAGCUGUUAUAAAUGUAUGUAUUAUUCUCUCCUUUAUCAAAGAAACUGUCCAAUGUGUAAACAAAUAAUUAAAAAUAACGACUUGAAAAGAUUAACAGGGGAACGUAAAGUGGAGUAUGAAAAUAUAAGAAUAAAAUGUCAUUUAUGUAAUGAACAAUUUUUAAUGAGGGAUUAUAAAAAACAUUUAAAAGAUUGUGAAUAUAAAAGAUGUAAAAAUUAUUAUUUAGGGUGUGAACAUUAUGAUAAAAAAAAAAGAAUAAAAUUACACGAGAAAUUAUGUGAACAUGUAUUAAUACCUUGUGAAAGUUGUUCAAAUUUAUUUUAUUUUAAAAAUAGGUUUUAUGUUUUACCUUUUAAAAAAAAUUACAAAGUGAACAUGUCAUGCGCACUUACGCAUUAUUCUUUUUAUUAUAAUUUAUUUUUUAAUAAUAAUUUUAAUUUUUUUAAUUAUAAUUCUUGUUUUAAUUAUGAUAUUAAUAGUCAUAAUUAUAUAUUUAAAAAAAUCAAUAUUUUAAGAAACAUGCAAAAUACGUUAAAUCAACUCCGAUAUACACUUAUUUUAGGCAAUAACAAUACAACAACAUGUAAUCAAAUUACAACUAUACCUACUGUUACUAAUAGUAGUAACGGGUUAAGUAGUAACGGGUUAAAUAGUAACAGUUUAAGUAGUAACAGCUUAAGUAGUAACAGCUUAGGUAAUAACAGCUUAGGUAAUAACAGCAGCAGUACAAACAUCAAUAGUAGUAAUAGCAGCAGCACUAGCGGUAGCAGUAGCAGUAGUAACUCUCGCUUUGGAAAAAAUAGUAUCGAUCAGAAAUCUACGCAAGCGAAUAACACGAAUUGUAAAAAUAAAAUAUUGAUGAAAAAAAAAAAAAAUAUAAAGACAACUACAAAUACAGCGUAUAUUAACGAAAAUGACUUAACUAACACUAUCGCUACACAAAAUGUUUUUAAAAUAAGUAAUACGAUUUCUAAUUGUUUUAAUGAUUUAAGAUUUAAUAACAGCAUUAACGAUUCUAACAUUAAUAUUAGUAAUAGAUUUAUUAAUGAUAAUUUUGAUACAAAUAGGGAAUCAACUGAUAAUCAAGAAGAAGAAAAAAUAAACAGUGUGGGAACAGUUGAAGGAACAAAUAUUUGUAGUAUUAAAUCUGAACAUAAUUUGUGCGAAUACGAUCAAUAUAGUUUGCAUGAAACCGAUACGACUGAAGGUUUAUUUAAUAAUAAAUGUAAUAUUAGUACUAAUAGCACAUGUUAUAAUACAGAUAAAGAUGAUGAGUAUACAGAUAUAAUAGAUAUUUUACCACUAAGGACAAAUAUUAAUAUAAAAAAUCAAAGUAGCAAAGAUAUAAUAAUAAUAAUAAUAAAAGAGUUAUUUCAGUUUGAUAAUGUAGAUUUUAGUAAUCUUUAUAAAAAUAAUACAGAAUGUUACAUGUGUGAUAAAAACUGUUUUAGUAAUACAAUUAAAAGGCUUAGACAAGAUUUAGAAAGAUGUUUAGUUGUAUUAUAUUUUUGUUGUUGUAUUGGCUUUCCAACUAUGUUUUUAUUAGGUUAUACUAGUUUUAUUAUGACUAAAGGAGUUUUUAAAUUAUCUUUUUUCAUGGCAAGUGCAUUCCUUAAUUUAUCAAAAAACAUCUUUUUUAAAAUGUUUCAUAAUUAAACAUACAAAAAUAUAAAAAAAACAUAAAAAAAAAAAAAAAAAAAAAAUAAAUAAAUAAAUAACCUGUAUGUUAUGCGUAAA